AACGAACGCUGGCGGCAUGCCUAACACAUGCAAGUCGAACGAGACCUUCGGGUCUAGUGGCGAACGGGUGCGUAACGCGUGGUAACCUGCCCUUAGGUUCGGAAUAACUCCCCGAAAGGGGUGCUAAUACCGGAUAAUGUCUUCGGACCAAAGAUUUAUCGCCUUUGGAUGGGCCCGCGUUGGAUUAGCUAGUUGGUAGGGUAAAAGCCUACCAAGGCGACGAUCCAUAGCUGGUCUGAGAGGAUGAUCAGCCACACUGGGACUGAGACACGGCCCAGACUCCUACGGGAGGCAGCAGUGGGGAAUAUUGGACAAUGGGCGAAAGCCUGAUACAGCAAUGCCGCGUGAGUGAUGAAGGCCUUAGGGUUGUAAAGCUCUUUUACCCGGGAUGAUAAUGACAGUACCGGGAGAAUAAGCUCCGGCUAACUCCGUG
rnacentral:rRNA from 1 species